rnacentral:rRNA from 1 species
GUCUAUAUGAAGUUUCAUAUAGUCUAGCCUGCCCACUGAUUUUUAAAUGGCCGCGGUACCUUGACCGUGCAAAGGUAGCGUAAUAAUUAGUUUUUUAAUUGAAAACCCGUAUGAAAGGCUGAACAAAGAAAUAUCUGUUUCCGUAUUUAUCCUUAAAUUUUAUUUUUAAGUGAAAAAGCUUAAUUAACCUUAAAAGACGAUAAGACCCUAUAAAUCUUUAUAUAAUUGCAAUAUAUUUAAAAUAUUAUUAGUUAACUUUAAAUUAUUUCAUAUUUAUUAUGUUGGGGCGACAAGAAUACUUUAUAUUAAUCUGUUCUAUUUUUUCAAACAUUAAUAAUUGAUUAAUUAUAGAGCCUAAUUUUUUAGAUUAUUAGACCAAGUUACUUUAGGGAUAACAGCGUAAUUUUUUUUAAGAGUUCUUAUCGAAAAAAAAGUUUACGACCUCGAUGUUGAAUUAAAAUUUCUUUAUGGACGCAGAAGUCAUAUAAGUAAGUCUGUUCGACUUUUAAAAUUUU